GAUUAACGCUGGCGGCGUGCAUAACACAUGCAAGUCGAACGAUGAAACUUUAAUGAACCCUUCGGGGAGAAUUAAAGCGGAUUAGUGGCGAACGGGUGAGUAAUGCAUCGGAACGUGCCCAGUAGUGGGGGAUAGCCCGGCGAAAGCCGGAUUAAUACCGCAUACGACCUGAGGGUGAAAGCGGGGGACCGAAAGGCCUCGCGCUAUUGGAGCGGCCGAUGUCGGAUUAGCUAGUUGGUGGGGUAAAGGCUUACCAAGGCGACGAUCCGUAGCUGGUCUGAGAGGACGACCAGCCACACUGGGACUGAGACACGGCCCAGACUCCUACGGGAGGCAGCAGUGGGGAAUUUUGGACAAUGGGGGCAACCCUGAUCCAGCCAUGCCGCGUGCGGGAAGAAGGCCUUCGGGUUGUAAACCGCUUUUGUUCGGGAAGAAAUCCUCUGGGCUAAUACCCCGGGGGGAUGACGGUACCGGAAGAAUAAGCACCGGCUAACUACGUG
rnacentral:rRNA from 1 species